rnacentral:rRNA from 1 species
UACGUAGGGUGCGAGCGUUUAAUCGGAAUUACUGGGCGUAAAGCGUGCGCAGGCGGUUCGUUAUGUCCGAUGUGAAAGCCCCGAGCUCAACUUGGGAAUGGCAUUGGAAACUGGCGGGCUGGAGUGUGGCAGAGGGGGGUGGAAUUCCACGGUGUAGCAGUGAAAUGCGUAGAGAUGUGGAGGAAUACCGAUGGCGAAGGCAGCCCCCUGGGCCAAUACUGACGCUCAUGCACGAAAGCGUGGGGAGCAAACAGG